UGGGGAAUUUUGGACAAUGGGGGAAACCCUGAUCUAGCCAUCCCGCGUGUGCGAUGAAGGCCUUCGGGUUGUAAAGCACUUUUGGCAGGAAAGAAACGUCAUGGGUUAAUACCCCGUGAAACUGACGGUACCUGCAGAAUAAGCACCGGCUAACUACGUGCCAGCAGCCGCGGUAAUACGUAGGGUGCAAGCGUUAAUCGGAAUUACUGGGCGUAAAGCGUGCGCAGGCGGUUCGGAAAGAAAGAUGUGAAAUCCCAGAGCUCAACUUUGGAACUGCAUUUUUAACUACCGAGCUAGAGUGUGUCAGAGGGAGGUGGAAUUCCGCGUGUAGCAGUGAAAUGCGUAGAUAUGCGGAGGAACACCGAUGGCGAAGGCAGCCUCCUGGGAUAACACUAACGCUCAUGCACGAAAGCGUGGGGGGCAAACAAG
rnacentral:rRNA from 1 species